CAGCGACUUAUCAUCGUCGCUAUCGAGCGAUCGUGGCGUAAUUUCCGCGCGAUGGCAGAUAAAUUAAUUCGUUCGCGUGAACGCAAGGACACCGCAGUACCUCCAAAUCACACAGCGAGCUGGUAAUUAACUGUGGAUCUAGAGCGUGGGGCGCCGAGCAGUCUGUGACGACACGACAGAAAUCCAGAUCUUUCUCCGUCUGUUCCGUGUGUCACCGCCACCCCUUGGGCUGGCGACACCCCCGUUCCUUCCCCGCAUAUUCGAUAUCCCUCUCGUUCGGGAUACCACCGAGUGAACAUAUACAUAUGUGUCCAGAGCAAACGCCCCGCCACGACCUAUAACUACCGGCUCUCUACAGGGUGUCACCACGCGUCGGAUUGCGUUCCCGUUAAUCCUGCGGGAAAAAGAGAGGAAAAAUGAUCUCGGCUAAAUUACCUAACCGCGACAGUGGGAAGAACUUCCGGGAUGUUGUUUCGAGAAUACCCUGCGGUAAUAACCGAGAUGUCUCAGUCUGACCGAUGAUCUGCGCGGGAUGAAAGCCAAGUCGAGAUCGAGCCGAGUCAAUGGACUUGGGGCAACCGCACGUUCCAUACGAUAAUACACACGUGUCAGAUUCGUUGAAGUCUCAACGCGUAAAUUUGCUACAUUUGCCAGACUUCUGAAAUAAAAAUUGCGCGAGCAUAACACGAGCGCCGCAUCCAUAUAAUUGUAAAAGUACACGAGCUUUGCGAUAAAAUACGGAAGAGAUGAGUGCAU